AGACACUGAACCACAGGAACACUGGAAUGCUGGAACAGGACGUGAUGAUCACCAGCGACAAUGUCUACUUCCAAGGAACUGUCAGUAAUUCCAUUAUAAAUAUGCAGGCACCUAUAAUGCAGCCAUGAAAAUUGGGCUGAAAUUAGGCACAAGAUCUCAGCCUCAAGAUGUCAGUGGACCUACGGAUCUAUGGUUUGAAGGUUGGGUUGUAAAGAGUGGAUUCCACUUUCCCUGGAACAUUCAACUGCAAUGUAUUCAUUAUUGUGAAACCCACCAAACUGAACUUCUACCUAUUUGGACUUCAAGGAACCACAGUGUAACCAAAUAGUGCGUAGUAAAUUGUGGGCACUACUGGAGAAGCUACAAGCUAUUAAAUCAAAAACACUGGAG